ACGAGGACAGACAAGCUUACACAGUCAAGAGCUGAAAAGCUGCAGAUAACAUACAACAGGGCUUAUUCAAAUUCUGACGGCUGCUUCGGGACAAAUCCUCCUUCUCCUCUUCUUCUUCUUCGGAAGUUCUCCAAGUGACCUUUUUCAGGAACGUGUGCAGAGUUACAAUGAGAGGUCUGACAGAUUUAAUCAAUUAACACAACUCUUUGUCACACUUUUCAGGCUUCGAGGUGAAGGAAGGUGAAGCAUGAUGGGAAAAUCAAAGCAUCAGAGCAAGGAGAUGUUCAUCUUUUAACCAGAGUCUUAAGCUACAAGUAACUUCAGCAAGAAAUAGGAGUCGUGCUUUAAAGCAGACAGGCGGAGGAGGAAGAUGAGGGUCGGCCUCGGCCAACAUAAAUCUGAAGCAGGAGGAGAUCGGACGCGUACCGAGUCAAAGAGCUGGGGGAUGAACUCAUUCAUGUUUUAGAGGUCUGCUUCGAGGACAAACUCCUCUGAGUCUUAAAGCAGCAUGUUCCUGUUCAGCAAAGUCAUGAUGAGGAUGCCACGGCUGUUUUAAAGAAGCUUGACUUAAAUAUUUAACGUCAUGGAGGGGAGAGAAAAUGAAAGUUAAAAGAAGGAUAAAGAUGAGGAGACAAGAAAAGAGGGAUGAUUUAACAGAAAACAGUUUCUUGUGGCUUUACUCAAGUGCAUUGGAAACAUGUAAAGUAAUAUAAUUAUUUGUUGCUCAGCUUCUGUAAGUCUUUAAAAACAAACAUGGAACCUCAUUCCAGUUAACUCUCUACAUGUUUUGGAAAACCAAGCGUCAAGUUAGCAGAACUCUAAAGUGAGACCAGAACAAACUUUCCAGUUUGAACGCUCACAUUCUCAUCUUAUGCAGAUGAUGAGCAGGAAGCUCUAUACAUGUGAAAAUACAUCUAAAACUGGUUCAGCAGCCUUAUUGUUUGAUGAAUGAAGUUGUCAGAGUCUAAGGAUGUCCUUUAUUUAACGACCCAGGAUGUUCUUGCCUCUGGGAGGAGAUUAAUAAGCACACAGAUAUCUGACAGCAACAUUGAAUUCUUGCCAAAACUUUCUUCUCAAGUAAAUUCUGUACAUUUUUAUGGCUUUGACUUCUUUCUUUUGGUUUUAAGAUAUAUAAAUUUUGACUGCAGAGUCGCAGUUUUUCCUCACAUGUUAGACCAGUUAAAUGCUAUCCAGAGUGCAGUUUUCCCAUGAAAGUAGAAGUAAUAUGGAAAAAUAGGGGAAGAAAUGAUUGAGCAAGUUAUAUUUCUUCAUUUCAUUUCGUUUAUUCUUGAAAAACCAAAAACGCUUGAACACUGCCUGUUCAAAUCCAAUGAAAGGCAAUAAAUCUCUACACAUUCCUGUUAAAAUGUAA